CUGAUUCCAUCCUAUUAUACAACAUAACUUACGAAAUUAAAAUACAUGAAUACAACGUUCAAAUAAAAACAUCAUUUAAACAUCUAAAGAUCUCUACUGGUCCCAACAAGCGGUCUGUCAUACCUCCAUAGCUUUAACCUCUCCUGCCUACAUUCCAAAUGGAAUUCCAAAUGGAACACACCCACGUGCAAAACAAAGCAACAUGGGUCAGCAUAAAAGCUGGUAUGAGUAAACAAGUGGGAAAUCUAUUCCCACAAAAUAACAAAUAAAUAUAAAGUUCCAACAUAUGAUUAACAACAUAAUUAACCUUCAAAAAUAAUUCUUUCAUGCUAAGAAAAUAAGCAUACGCAAAAACCCAUAUCAAUUCCAUUAUAUAUAAACUCUUUCUCCAUUAUAUAAUCGCAUGCUUAAUUCUAUUAUUCACUUCUAAUUUACCUAUUUACGAUGUUAAUUGAUCGAUAAUACAAAUACAUUACCUAAGAAGCAACUGUCUUUAAGGAUAGGUCUAUCCACCUGCACAAAAUAAAUUAGUUGACCUAUCCACCUGCAAAAUGAAGUUAAUACAUAAUACACAAAUAUAAUAAAAAUAAAACAAAUCACCUACACGUUACGUGUUAUCUAAUACUUUGUAUCAACCCGAAAAUACAUUUCGUUCAUUCAAACCAUUAAUAAUGAUUCAUUCCAACUCUUCAUAAUUUAUAAUCUACCAAAAUGACAAGUCCAAUUAUGACUAUUAAUACCCAUAAUAAAUAAAACAUCGCAGUUCUUCCACAUAAUCAUAGUUACCUCUGAUUCAUAAUCAAAGUAUAUAAAAUUUACCCAUAUCAUUAAUUAACACCAAGCACUACAAUAUCAUAAGUCUUAGCACACUACCAAACAACGAAUCUAAAGUCACAAAACCACGUCCUGGCUUCUAGCCGGUGCUCGGGUUUAACAAUCAUAAAAUCACAACCUAUGCCCAAUCACUAGUACAUCUCCCACAGGAUGCACUCCAGACAUUUGCCAUACCCACACUGCACCAGUGUGCCUUGACCAUGGUUAAGAACCUCUACGCGGAAACCAAAACCCAAGUGGGUGCUCACCUGCAAGCUUUGGCUAGCCUCGACGUAUGCCUAACUCAUGAUCUCUAAUAGCUUCUUUGAGCUUUCUAAUGUGGCGCCCAGACCAACCCCGAAGGCUAUGAAGGUCUGAAGGGUCAGUUCCGCAGGCUAAGCCGUCUAAGAAAUACCCAAAUAUAAUCCAAGAAUCAACCCGCAGGCUAAACCAUCUAGGGUGAUACCAAAUUUCUUUAAUCCUAAUUCCACAGGUGCGGCAAAUGUACUAAUACUUGGGCGACUACUAAAACAACUAGAUUAAUCAAGCAAUCACACAACACUUGUCAUAUAAUCACCUUCCAAGUCAAUUCCCUAUUUCUUUCCAAUUAUCCAAAUUAAAUAUACCGUCUAUGGUAUAAGCCAUUCCAAGGCAUUCCAUAAAAAACGCAGCACCCACGUUCAAUAUCAAUACAUUUUAAUUUCCUUGCAUAUCAUAUACCAAAAUAUUGCAUAACUCGAAAUAACAAGUUAAAUCAUGCCGAUGUUGUAGGACAUUUACUGAACAUAUAUACUGUCUUAUAAUUCCAAACUGUUACAGUUCCAAUUACAUUUGGAAAUCAAAUAUUAACACAUAUUGAUCACAGUUAAUACACAUAUACUGUAUACCAUCAAGUUCAAAUAAAACUCGGCAACCCGACACAUAAUAUACUUUAUGUACUGUACUUCAAAAUUUCUAUCUAUCACCUAUUAAAAUAUAUACCUCCUUUUUUAUAUAUAUAUAUUAUUACUAUUAAUAAUAAUAACAAAAUAAAAAAUAAUGAAAUCAACCUAGAAACGAACACUGGCAGUGCGACAGAUCUGAUGUGUACAGUAGCAUAACUUUGAAAAAAAAAAUGUUUUAUCCAUCAAGAGUCUCUUUGUCCAUAUAUACAAAUUAAACCAAGAAUUUAGUUUUCAAGAAAAAUACAUAUAUCAAUGAUAAGAAGAAUGCAUCAGUAAUGUGAAUUUCAUCCCAUUCAUAUACUAUUCCAUUGUUGCAUAUAUCAACCUAUAUUUCUGUAUCUUUAUCUACCCAAGUUGAUCAACAGUAAAUUUCUUCUAAUAUCAUGUAAGCCAUACUCAAAAAAUCAUUCAUAUCAAGUAGACAUCAAACAGAGAAUCAAAACUUCUGAAUAUUUAAAAAUAAGAAUUUCAUAAAAAUUUAGCUUAGAGUAAAUUAAGUCCACUCACCUGUUAAUACUACUGUUGUUCGUCCUCUUCCUCUCUCAGUCUGCAACUUCUCCUUUCUCUUCACUGGUGACUGGUCUGCAACUCGUAGAAAAACCCGACACCACAAAUAUUCUUCUUCUUCACUCUUCUAAACUCAGAAUUCCAGCCACUGUACUUCUUCUCCUUGAACUUUGAUCACUCUGGUCGCAGCGGCGCCCACUCUCCCUUUCUUUCUUUUUUUUUUAUCGCAACCAACUUCUGAUCAUUGGGUAUAGCUAAGAAUCUAACCUAAGAUGGUUCAUCCAACGAACCUGAUUGAUUUGUGAUCAUGAUCACACUAUGGCCGUGAUUCCGAAUUACAAGCAAAUAAGAUCUGUUCGUGGGUUGUUUUCUCCAAGUUUUGAUUAUUAAACCAUAGUCCCUCAAAUAUAUAUUAAUUAUUAAUAAACUCUUGACUCAGGGACUUUUUACUCAAUUAUUGAUAAAUUCAAAUUAAAAUUUGCAUGACAAUAAAAAUCGGGGUUUUACACGUUUUCUACAACAUCAAAAUGGCGUCGUUGCCGCUCUAAGGAACAUCAUCCCACUUCUAUCCCUGCCACCCUUCAAUUUUUAUUUAUUUUAAUUAGUGUUUUUAAGUGUCUAGUUACUUAGUCCUCUUAUUGAUUUUGCAGCGAAAACGGAUUGGGAAAAACUCGGAAAACGGAGGAGAUAUCAAAGUUUGAAGAAAAGUGCGCAUUCAGGAAUUGUUCCUGAAGGUUACUGUUCCGAAGUGGGCCUGACCUCGAGUCGAGUUCAAUUUGGUCUAUAACAAUCUCGAGUCGAGUUUCAGGCAGGAAAUUUGCUCGGUUUUGCGUGAUUUUUCCAGGGCGAUCCAGGACUUCUUUCGAGCUGAAUUUUCUACUGUUGAGAGAUUUUGGGGUGAUCUACUUGCCCUAAACUUUUCACCAUUUUUGGAGUAGCGGAAGAUAUUUAAUUUUUCGUUCAAAGACGGGAACUUUUGCUGAAAUUACUGAAUCGACAGUUCCAGGCAGGGAAUUUGCUCGUUUUGCGUGAUUUUUGCAGGACGUUCCAGAACUCCAAAUUAGCUAAUUUUUUUUACUGUUGAGAGAUCAUGAGGUGAACUAAGUAGUCUAUUUUUUUCAGUAUUUUUAAGGACUUGUAAGUUAAUUAAUUAUUCGAUCCACGUAGGGGUCGCGGUUGUAAUAUUUUUAAAGUAGGUGUUGUUAGGAUUUAUAUUAUUGUGUGUUCGAAGCGGAUAGUAGAGCAAGGUUGUGGAGCUAGCCUUGAGUCUACUAAGGAACGACUCCUAAGGACGAUUUUAACCCAAGGAGCGGUUUCCCAUUAGUCGACUUCAACUCGUCUUCUCCCACAUUUGUGCGCUUGUUUGGCAAUUUUUACUUUUUAGCACAAAGUGGGAGGUAAGCAUUCUCUCAACCCUCCUCGAAUCCCUUGCAAGAGGAGUUUCUGUAUUGAUUAGCAUGACCUUGAUUGUUGCUUGAUUUCAAUUUCUGUUUUUACUUGUUAAACCGGGACUGCAAGGCCGACCUGGCCUAUAAGUGAAACCUAAUAUCAAUUGAUUGCAAUAUCCUAAGCCUUAAAAUUGAAUCAACUAAAGCCAUGCUAUCACAAUGUUCACAUUGAGACCUUGACGGAUAUUUCAACCAAUACUGCUUGAUUUUUCUUUGAUUGGAGCACAAAUCAGGAAUUGGGUCUGGAACCCGUACGGAUUUAUCUGUAGAAUCAAUUGUGGUUAUUUAAUUAAGGAACGUGUUUAGGCACGGACAACCUCCCACAUUGGUUAUUAGCUGCUUGACUCUCGAGAUAUAGGAAGAAUCAUUCACGAAGCUUGGAAAGAACUUAUUGACUUGGGUGAGCACAAAAUAGAGUUAGUUUUUCAGCCUCUUGCUAGAUGUUUUUGAAUGGUUAGGACUUCUGUGGCAUAUGUAAUGCGCAUGUUGCAUGCAUCUUAGAUCAGGUAAAAUCUUGUCCAAACCUAUAAUCUACACAAAGAGCACCAUCACGGACUUCUCUACUCCUCCUGAGGAAGAGUUUCAUAACUCAACCUCCUUACCUUCUGAAGAAGAGUUCAACGACUCAACUUCACUUUCUGAAGUACAUCCUGCACCUAUGGCUCAAGAAGCUACCCUUCGGGAUUACUUUUCACCUUUGGCCACUGGGCCACCUACUUGCAUUGUCUUACCAGAGACACAUGCAGAUAGCUAUGGCAUUCGCCCACAGAUUGUGGGCAUGUUGCCUAAGUUCCAUGGACUUCCAAGGGAAGAUCCAUAUCAGCACCUCAAUAAGUUUCUGACUGUUCUCCACACUUUUAGGGAGACGCAUUUAUCUGAGGAGGAAGUUAGGUUGAGAUUGUUCCCCUUUUCUCUUGAGGAUAGAGCAUAUCAUUGGUUACAUAGCCUUCUUCCCAAUUCUAUUGACACUUGGGCUCAACUAAGUAAAAGGUUUUUGACCAAAUUCUUUCCUAUUACUAGAACUAAUGACAUAGUUGAUGCCAUAAGAAGUUUCCGGAAAAAAAAGGGUGAGGUAUUCUUUGAUGCAUGGGAGAGGUUUCACGACCUAUUUCUUCAAUGUCCACACCACAAAGUCGAUAACACUGAAAAAGUCAGGAUUCUGUAUAGGAGCCUUAAUACUCAAACUAGAGGCACAGUUGAUAGCAUGAGUGGUGGAGAUUUCCUUAAUUACUCCACCACCAAGGCUUUAACUUUCCUUGAAAAGAUUGCUAAUAAUAGCCAACAAUGGGAUGUACCUAGACAUACCCCGAGAAACACUACCAUAGACUCACUUGAUAAACCUAGAGUCAUAUAUGAAGUCAAACCCGACUCUGAGCUUAAAAAUUUACUUCAUGGUUUAACUAAACAGGUAGCAGCACUUGGCGUAUCCUUACAUACCCCCACCAACUGUUAUGAGUGCCUCCACUCUUUCAUGCGAUGCUUGUCAUGACCAAACCCACACUGCUGAAUUUUGCCCUCUCCUAGUUAAUUCACUAGAAACUGAGGAUGCCUAUGCGUUUAAUUACGCAGGGAGAACCAACUUUACUAAGGGCAAUGCCACGUACCCAUACAUGGACCGCUCCAAUCUCUCUUAUUCUAAUAAUCAUCAUGCGGGUCCACCUGGUUUUAAUAACUCUUAUGGGCAACGUAGCAAUGCCACGUAUGUUGGUCACUCUGACAAUAGGAACAGGGCACCGGUCCCCCCUUACUCGAACAAUACUCAUCCAAUCAGUGGUUCUAGAGACCGCAUGCCAACUAAUCAAUCUACCCCUCCUAAAACCUCUCUUGAGGAUGUGCUUGCACGUUUCAUUCAACAGACCCAGGCGUCUAUUGAGUCAAAUGCCCAAGCCAUCCAGAGAAUUGAAGAAAAACUUGAUGAAAGAGGUAGAUUUUCGAGACAAUCCAUCCCGAACCCCAAAGGCAAAGAAGUUGCCUUGGUGACGGAAGCUGCAACUCCAUCUACAUCUGUACCGCUUGCUGAAAUAAAAUCGGUUUCCACCUUUAGGUCAGGAAAACAGGUCGAUAAUCAAAUUAAUUAUACACCGAGUCCCAACAUUUUGACCCCGGUUACCUCUGCACCUGUUGCCCCCCUAAACCUUCGACUAAUGAGGCGACCACCUCUAAGUCGAAGAAGACUGCCCGUGAGAUCGUGGAUCCUCCACGGACUUAAAACCCGCCUGUACCUUACCCCCAGAGACUCACAAGGUCUCUAAAAGAAGUCCAAGCAGAGGAAGUACUUGAUGUGUUUAAACAGAUAAAUAUUAAUAUACCCUUCCUCACGGCUAUUAAACAUAUACCUUCCUAUGCUAAGGUCUUGAAAGACUUGUGCACUGCCAAGUGAAAAACAAAUGUGCCUAAAAACACUUUUGUCGCACAAGAAUUCUCUGCACUUGUCCAACAUAAUGGUGUGGUAAAAUAUAAGGACCCUGGAAAACCGACCAUACCCUGCAUGCUUGGUGAUAAGUUCAUGGGUAGAGCUUUGUUAGACUUAGGAGCGAGUGUUAAUCUCUUGCCUUAUUCCUUAUACCUAAGCAUGGGUCUAACAUACAUGAAACCCACAAAAAUGUCUUUACAACUGGCCGACAGAUCUUUGAAAGUACCUAGAGGUAUAGUACAAGACCUUUUAGUUAAAGUGUCAGACUUUUACUAUCCUGUUGACUUUGUGGUGUUGGAUACUGAACCUACUGCCGAUGAUUCGGUACCCAUCAUCCUUGGCCGCCCAUUCUUGUCCACCUCUAAUGCUCUCAUAAACUGCCGGAACGGUUCCAUGGUUCUCACUUUUGGCUCUAUAACUGUUGAAGUUAAUAUAUUUACCCUUGGCCAACAACCCCCUGAUCUUUCCUUAUCUGAGGAUGUGUGCCUUCUAGACUCAUUACCUUAUGAGAUGGUGCACAAUUAUUACCCUGAGGAUCCGAUUGUUCAUUGCCUUGCUAUGCAUAAUGUAGACUUUGACAUAGACCAAUCUAUUGCCCAAACCAAUGCUCUCCUUGACAUUGUUCCUAUCUUUGAACCUAAAGACCCUGAGGCCCUUGAUGUGGUUUGUAGCUUAGAUUCUGAGACCCAAGUAGAGACCAUUACUCCACCUCCUGUCACCCUGAAUCCUCUCCCUCGUGAGCUGAAAUACGGUCAUCUUGAUUCAGACGGUAGUCAUCCUGUUAUCAUUUUUUCAUCUCUUAUUACCGAACAGGAGAGUCAGCUUAUAGAAGUUAUUUUAGAGCAUCGUUCUGCUAUUGCCUGGUCCAUCCACCACAUCAAAGGCAUUAGCCCUUCUGUCUGUUCUCAUCGUAUUCAUCUUGAGGACGAUGCCAAAACUUCUCGUGAACCUCAGAGACGUCUCAACCCUGCGAUGAAAGAAGUUGUUCGAGCUGAGAUUCUUAACCUUCUGGAUGCAGGUGUGAUUUAUCCUAUCUCGGAUAGUCCCUGGGUUAGCCCUAUUCAUGUGGUCCCUAAGAAGGCCGACAUGACUGUAGUUACCAAUGAUAAGAACGAGUAAGUCGCCAUUAGAGUUCCAACUAAGUGGCAUGUUUGUAUCGACUAUAGAAAACUUAAUACAAUCACCCGGAAAGACCACUUUCCUCUUCCCUUUAUAGACCAGAUGUUGGAACGUCUAGCUGGUCAUUCUUUCUAUUGUUUCCUGGAUGGUUACUCCUGUUACAACCAAAUUCCUAUCGCCCCUGAAGAUCAGGAAAAGACGACAUUUACUUGUCCCUUUGGCACUUUCGCUUAUGCCGGUAUGCCUUUUGGUCUGUGUAAUGCACCUGCUACCUUCCAAAGGUGCUUAACUGGGAAAAGUAUUAUUUCACGGUUAGAAAGGGAAUAGUUCUUGGUCAUGGAGUCUCUCCUGAGAGUAUCCAGGUUGAUAAAGCUAAAGUAGAUCUUGUUUCAUCUUUGCCUAUAACUAAGUCUAUUAGGGAUAUUCGAGCCUUUCUGGGCCAUGCAGGAUUCUAUCGACGCUUUAUCCAAGAUUUUUCUAAGAUAGCUCGAUCCUUAACCAAUUUAUUACUUAAGGAUGCAUCUUUUGAUUUCACAAAAGAAUGCAAGAGCGCUUUUGAAAAACUUAAGACCGCCCUCAAGAAUGCACCCAUUAUUAGGCCUCCUGAUUGGAGUAAACCCUUUGAGCUGAUGUGCGAUGCAUCAGACUAUGUUGUUGGGGCUGUUUUAGGUCAACGUCUAGAUGGUAAGCCCCAUGUCAUAUAUUAUGCUAGCAAGACUCUCAAUGACACUCAAUGUAAUUAUACGACAACUGAGAAAGAACUCUAGGUUGCAUUUAUUUCCUGGUAAACUACAGUCUCGUUGGUCGGAUCCCUUUGUUGUGUCUGUAGUAACACCUUUUGGUGCUAUCACUUGUCUAAAUCCUGCAGACAACACUGAAUUUCAAGUCAAUGGUCAACGUCUUAAGCAUUUCCAUGAAUUAAGGCCCCCUGAAGUAGAGGAAACUCUCUUAGAAGAUCCUACCUAUUUAGACUGACCUUUGACCUGCUGGUAUCCGAACCCUCCCCUACUCUACUCUUGUCUCUUUCUUGGGAGGUGUGGUUAAAAGUGUCGGGACCAUAGUCCACAAACUCUUAUUGGUUGAGUAUAAUUGAUCCAGUAUACGCUUUUUCUCUCAAGCGUCAUCACCAAACAGACCUGUUUCGCGCUCUGUUUGGAGGUGGGGAAGUCAUUUCCCAUCUUUUAUAAGUCUAGAGUAUCUGACUUUAAAAGACUCAUGUUGUAUAUUAGACAUCAGGAUUUCACGCAUUCCAUUCUAGCGUUUUGUCUCUCCUGUAUCUUUGUUUAGAGUAGCUUUUAUCUAGGGAGUGAAUCCUGGUUGUCCAGAUGUCUGGCUGAAGACGUUAAACUUAGCGCUCCUGAGAGGCAGCCCUGUGUAUCUCCUAAACCCAAUCGUGCGUUAGUGCUUUUAUCAGUUACCCGGUUUAGUGGUUAUUGGCUAAUACCCAUUUCUUUAGGAUCCUAGAAUAGAUCUGUUUGUGGGUGGGCAUGGACCACCACUCUUUGAUUGCGGUUGCUUGGUUAAAUAAUUAUUACAAUUACAAAUUUGAAAUUAUUUCAAUUUUUGGUAUUUUUAAUAAUUAUUGCAUGAUUUUGGGGAUUUUAUUUGACACUCUUAAUGGUACUUAUAUUCGCAAGAAUAUAAUUAUACAUUAUCGCGGAAUUUUCAAAGUUAAAUUUAAAUUAUUUCGUGCCUUUUCGCUUUCUAGGGGUAAAACCGUCAUUUCCACUAAUUUCAGUAGUGGGGGAAGCGUCUAGGGAAAGUCACUUCUCUAUAUAUACCCCCGGGUGUCAUUAAAAAAGUCACAAGUCACUUUCAAAACCCAAAUCAAACCGAGUCAACGUGGGUCAAACUAGAGUCUUCUUCUUCCCCAGAUCUCGACUCGAGUUCCUUAUAGAGUAAUCUGAACUCGACUCGAGUUUCGUUACAGAUCCAGUUUCUCUCUCCUCAUAUCUCUCUCAUUUCUAGGCCAAAUUCAAUAAUUUUUGUGGGGUUUUGUUCCUUUCUUUAUCCUCUUCAUUUCUAUACCAAAAUCCCCUACUAUCAUGCCUCCUAGAAGAAGAGAGUGGGUGAUUAUCCGAGAACGCGAUUAUUCGCGUCUCUUCGAUGAUAAUCGCUUUGGGAGCACCUUUGUUGAGAGGAUUAAUGCCCGAGGCUGGGAUGUACUCCUUGGCUCUGAUUACGAGCCAUUUGAUCCUCAAAUAGUUCGUCGUUUUUACGAGUCAAUGGAGUUGGCCGAUGACGACGUGUACAUCAACUGGGAUCCAAACCAUCUUUUCUUGCUGACGCCUGAGACUGUCUCCAUAGUCACGGCGCUCGAGCUUGAUGAGGCUCCCCUGCAGCAGGAGGCUCCACUGGUGACACCAGACGUCAUCGAGGUCGUCCUCAUUGAUGACUUGGUGUUGCACCGGUAUAGCAGCCAUAUCUCCAUCGGUUGGCUCCGAGUCAACCAAGGCUUGGUGGCACACUGGCUGACCACCAAUGUCCUUGGGAUGACAAGGACGAGCGAGUUGUUCUCGGAGGGUAUCCAUAUCCUCCGCCUGCUUCAGGAGGACGUCUACGGCUACUGCAUGGUCCGCCGUCUCUUUGCUACCAUCACCGGUGCCCGAGCCACUUCUGCUCCACUUCCUAGCCUGGUGAUGGCUAUUUUGCGCUACUGGGAGGCGCAUCUUCUUCCUGCACUCUCUCUGGAGUCGGUCGUCCGGCUCGAGGUCUCCAACCUGGGCUGUCAGCCUGUCGACAGCUGUUGUGGGACCCACAGGCAGAGGUGCCCGUCCAGUACAGGCCCGGCGACCAGCGGGCAUUCUUUUCACUCCAUACCAAUGACGAGCGGUUCCAGCUUCUCUGGAGGGGUAUGGGUGAGAUUCUGACUGCAGUCGAGGACUUGCAGCGUCGCUUCGACGAAGGCCAGGGCCAAUCUCGUCGACGACGGGGUUGAUUUUUAGUUCUGUUAUUAGCCAUUGUAAUUUGCUUAUGUACUUUGUUUGGUUUUUCGCACUCUUGUAUUAAAAGUUUCAAUCAUUGUACUUUAUUUUCAAAUAUUAAUGAAAAUGGUUGAAAUUUUAUUUAUUUUGCAUACUUGUCUUUUUUCUGAAAUUUUUAGCCAUUGUUGGGUUUCAUUGCAAAAAUCUGGACUUUCGGAGUAAAUUUUAAAAUAUUUUGGUCGAAGGGACCUUAGUCCAAAUAUUUUAAAUAGAAAGGAGGUUAGGGUUUGAUUUUUUGGAAACCCUAUGGUAUUAGGCAACUUUUGGAGUCCUACUAGGGCUCAAACUCUUUACAUCUAGCCUAUAUAUACCACACCAUGUUUAGAGGACCGUCACUUAAAAAUCAGAAUUCUUUAAAACUUUUUUAUUUUCUGAUCUAGGCCCGAGCUCGAGUCGAGUUCCUUAUAGGUCAUUUCAAUCUCGAGUCGAGAUUGAACCUGGCAGCAGUUUUCUGAGCUCGUUUUAAGUGAUUUUUUUUUCUCGGUUUUCGCGCUGGUUGUUUGUGUUUUCUUCUUUCUUUUGCCAUGGCUAAUAUUCAGAAUGAGUUAUGGAUGCCCGAUGGCAUGGAUAUCAUCCCCGAGAUGGAUUUUUUGGGAAUUAUGGAUAGUCCUUAUGGAACUUCCUUUAUGGAUGGGAUUUUUGACAAAGGUUGGGAAGGUUUUCUUUAUGAUUCUACUGCUGUGUAUUCCUCUUCUAUGGUAAGAGACUUUUACCAUACGUUGCCCUUUGGUGAUUCUAUUCCCUUUGAUGGUUUCAAAGUUACUAUGCAUGGGUUCCCCGUAUUUAUCAAUUCUUUCUCUAUCACUCGGGCAUUGGGUAUUCCACUCCAAUUGCAACCUGUUUAUUCACAUCCUGAUUACUUCCUCUUCAAUCAUGUUGACAUGUUGAAUAAUUACCUAGAUCACUUUGGCCCUUGCAUUUUUUCCUUCCAUCCUAAGAAUUAUGCUAAUGUGGCACCUACCACUUGCCUACCUGCUAAUGUAGCUACUGCUGCUUUAUGGGUCAUGAGGAAUCUAUUAGGUGCACAUAGGUUGGAUUAUGUCAAUGAUACUACAAUACAUGUUGUUUACGGCAUUGUUAAUAAUUUUAGAGCUCUUGACAUAACAUCCUGGUUAAUGGAAGGCAUAAGGAAUGUUUUUCAGAUUGGUCAGCUAAUUUACCCUACUGCUAUCUGUAAGAUAAUCCCUUGUACAUAUCCUAAUUGGAGAAACAGAUACAAUGAUUGGACUCACCUUAUCCUUAUGGAUCCUACACAUCGUUUUAUCAGGAGAAGUCGCCUAUUCACAUGGGUGCCUAACACUAUAUAUAUAGAGUAUCCAAUGUUGCAUAGAAAUGAUGAUUUUAUGGAUUAUGGUAAGGGAUCUUGGAAUGUGGUGAAAGAGGCAUUAACUCUAUGGCGUGAUGACUUGGAUGGUUUGCCAAGAGAAAUUGCUUGAAAACAAGAGUGUAAUAUAGGAUUUCCUUUUCUGUUGAGUCAGUCCUUUAUUUCAGUAUAUUUUAUUUCAGUUGUGUCAUAGUAUGGAAUUCUUUGUAAUCUCUAUAUGAAGAUAAUUUUGUUUGACAGGAAUCUAUAAAGCGGUUUGAAUUUUUAGCACAUUCAUGGUAAUAUAUUUCUCCCUCUCUUUCCUAUGCUUAAUAUAAGCCUUGAGGACAAGACAAUCUCUUUGUUUGGGGGUGGGGAAGUAUUUCAAUCCUUUUUGCAAAAAAUUUUCAAACUUCUUUAUCCAUACUUGUGUAAAAAUUCAAAAAAAGGGUAUUUAGAUUUUGGUAUAUGUAAUAAUAGGUGAUUUAGGUUUUGAUGUAAUUUAAUGUUGUAAUUAGAUUUUGGUACAAAUUCUGUCAAGACUAACGUUGACUUGUGUGUCUGCUAGGUUGACUUUGACUUUGGUAAAGGCAACAAAUAUUUUCAAAAUAGCCAUAGAUUGCACGUGGUACUCACGUGUUCAACUCAGAAAUCACGUAUAUACCCUCAGUUAAAAUCAUCUGGCCAUCAAUCUAACAACACAUCUUCAUACUUCUGCAAGAUCAUCUUCAAUUUCACCUUCAAAUAACUUGAAGCAAACUUUUUGUUUCAAUUGUUUGAUUGAAUGAACGGAAAGAAUACCAAAAAACGGAGAUUUAUACAUAGAUAUAAAGAAACCCUAUAAAGAAUGAAGAGAAAUAAGGAAAUUUUGUUAUUUAAUAGAAGAAGAAGAAGAAGAAGAAACACAUGGGGAUGCUCUACUAUAGUCUGCAGUAAUAUAAUAAUAAAAUAUCUUGUUUUGAAGAUUUACCCACUACUUCUCCAUCUCCUCUUGCAUCAUCAUCAUCAUCACCAUCUCGUUUUUCUCCACCUAGAAUCCCAGAUGUACCACCGAUUCGCUUUAAAUUUUUAUGAAUUAGUUUGGGUGAUUGUUUAAUUUUUGUUUUAUCUUCUUGAGAAAGCACUUAAAGAAAGGGAUGGGAGGAGUUGAUUGUACAGUGGUAAGAUUGUAGAAAAUGGGAGGACAAAUUAGUUACUGCUGCUGUUGUUGGGUAUCUUGUUAUGAUUUUAAUUUUGUACGAUGAAUCUCGAUGUACAGUGACAACAAAGCAUUUAAAAAAUGUGAGAAUGCUUUGUGUAGUGGUAAGAAGAGAGAGGUGAUGUUGCGGUUAUGGUGGUGUAGUAGACGGUGGUGGUGGUAAGAAGAGAGAGGGAGGUGGUGGUGGUGGUGGCGGCUAAGGGGUUAAAUCAAUGGUGACA
rnacentral:lncRNA from 1 species